AUUGAACGCUGGCGGCAUGCCUUACACAUGCAAGUCGAACGGUAACAGGUCUUCGGAUGCUGACGAGUGGCGAACGGGUGAGUAAUGCAUCGGAACGUGCCCAGUAGUGGGGGAUAGCCCGGCGAAAGCCGGAUUAAUACCGCAUACGACCUGAGGGUGAAAGGGGGGGAUCGCAAGACCUCUCGCUAUUGGAGCGGCCGAUGUCAGAUUAGCUAGUUGGUGGGGUAAAGGCCUACCAAGGCAACGAUCUGUAGUUGGUCUGAGAGGACGACCAGCCAAACUGGGACUGAGACACGGCCCAGACUCCUACGGGAGGCAGCAGUGGGGAAUUUUGGACAAUGGGCGCAAGCCUGAUCCAGCAAUGCCGCGUGCAGGAAGAAGGCCUUCGGGUUGUAAACUGCUUUUGUCAGGGAAGAAAUCUUCUGGGUUAAUACCUCGGGAGGAUGACGGUACCUGAAGAAUAAGCGCCGGCUAACUACGUGCCAGCAGCCGCCGUAACAC
rnacentral:rRNA from 1 species